CCUACGUGGGGCUGUAGUGGGGAAUAUUGGACAAUGGGCGAAAGCCUGAUCCAGCCAUGCCGCGUGUGUGAAGAAGGCCUUCGGGUUGGAAAGCACUUUCAGUGGGGAAGAAAGCCUUGGGGCUAAUACCCUCGAGGAAGGACAUCACCCACAGAAGAAGCACCGGCUAACUCCGUGCCAGCAGCCGCGGUAAUACGGAGGGUGCGAGCGUUAAUCGGAAUUACUGGGCGUAAAGCGCGCGUAGGCGGUCUGAUAAGCCGGUUGUGAAAGCCCCGGGCUCAACCUGGGAACGGCAUCCGGAACUGUCAGGCUAGAGUGCAGGAGAGGAAGGUAGAAUUCCCGGUGUAGCGGUGAAAUGCGUAGAGAUCGGGAGGAAUACCAGUGGCGAAGGCGGCCUUCUGGACUGACACUGACGCUGAGGUGCGAAAGCGUGGGUAGCAAACAGGAUUAGAUACCCCAGUAGUC
rnacentral:rRNA from 1 species